AAGUUGUUGCGGUUAAAAGCUCGUAGUUCGAGCUCAGUUCCGGACUGGCCGGGGAGGUCACCGCCCGGUGCUUCCCCGUCAGGCUCCGAACAGCUUCCCUGAGUGGAAGCCAAGCCGGUUCUGCCGGGGUGCUCUUUACCGAGUGUCCCGCGCGGCCGGCCAGUUCACCUUGAAUAAAUGAGAGUGCUCAAAGCAGGCUACUCUCGAAUACAAUGCCCGAAUGUUACCUGCAUGGAAUGAUGGAAGAUGAUCUCGGUUCCAUUUUAUUGGUGGUGGGAGCCCGAGGUAAUGAUAAACAGGGACUGUCGGGGGCAUCCGUACUACGACGCGAGAGGUGAAAUUCAGUGACCGUCGUAGGACGAACAACAGCGAAAGCAUUUGCCAAGAAUGUCUUCGUUGAUCAAGAACGAAAGUUAGAGGAUCGAAGGCGAUCAGAUACCGCCCUAGUUCUAACCCUAAACGAUGCUGACUAGCAAUUCGCCGUCGUUAUUCCCAUGACGUGGCGAGACGCCCCCGGGAAACCUCAAGUCUUUGAGUUCCGGGGGUAGUAUGGUUGCAAAACUGAAACUUAAAGGAAUUGACGGAAGGGCACCACCAGGAGUGGAGCCUGCGGCUUAAUUUGACUCAACACGGGAAACCUCACCAGGCCCGGACACCAGAAGGAUUGACAGAUUAAGAGCUCUUUCUCGAUUUGGUGGGUGGUGGUGCAUGGCCGUUCUUAGUUGGUGGAGUGAUUUGUCUGGUUAAUUCCGGUAACGAACGAGACUCUGGCCUACUAAAUAGUCGACGGGCGUUUUGGUGCAUGGGCCCCGUUCGACACAGUCUUCUUAGAGGGAUGAGCAGCGAGUAUAGCUGCAGGAGAUUGAGCAAUAACAGGUCUGUGAUGCCCUUAGAUGUCCUGGGCCGCACGCGCGCUACACUGAAUGGGUUAGCGGGUUGUCCUUCUCCGAGAGGAGCGGGAAAUCGCGUGAAAACCAUUCGUGAUAGGGAUUGGGGCUUGCAAUUGUUUCCCAUGAACGAGGAAUUCCCAGUAAGCGCAAGUCAUCAGCUUGCGUUGAUUAAGUCCCUGCCCUUUGUACACACCGCCCGUCGCUACUACCGAUUGAAUGAUUUAGUGAGGCCUUCGGACUGGCGGUCUUGGACUGGGGCGCCGGCGUUCUCCCAGCAAUGGGGUGCCGGCGACCCGCCUGGACGGGCCGGAAAGAUGUCCAAACUUGAUCAUUUAGAGGAAGUAAAAGUCGUAACAAGGUUUCCGUAGGUGA
rnacentral:rRNA from 1 species